rnacentral:rRNA from 1 species
UGCCAGCAGCCGCGGUAAUACAGAGGGUGCAAGCGUUAAUCGGAGUUAUUGGGCGUAAAGGGUGCGUAGGCGGAUGUAUAAGUUAGAUGUGAAAGCCCUGGGCUUAACCUGGGAAUUGCAUUUAAAACUGUAUAUCUAGAGUAGAGUAGAGGUAAGCGGAAUUUCCGGUGUAGCGGUGAAAUGCGUAGAUAUCGGAAGGAACACCUGUGGCGAAGGCGGCUUACUGGGCUCAUACUGACGCUGAGACGCGAAAGCGUGGGGAGCAAACAGGAUUAGAUA